rnacentral:rRNA from 1 species
UACGGAGGGUGCAAGCGUUGCUCGGAAUUACUGGGCGUAAAGCGUACGCAGGCGGCCCGUUAAGUCGGGGGUGAAAGCCCAGGGCUCAACCCUGGAAUUGCCUUCGAUACUGGCGGGCUUGAAUACGGGAGAGGAGAGCGGAAUUCCUGGUGUAGAGGUGAAAUUCGUAGAUAUUCGGAAGAACACCAGUGGCGAAGGCGACUCACUGGACACAUAUUGACGCUGAGGUGCGAAAGCGUGGGGAGCAAACAGG